CAUAAAAGUGUCUGAUACAUUGAGAUUUAGUGUACUUCCUCUAUCAAUAUUUCCAGCAUGAUUAUUUUUGGGAUGAAUUAGUGUUGAUGACUAGCUUCAAAAUGUAGUAAAUAUUUAUAGUUGUUUGGUAAUUUGUCAUUUAGACUGUAUAUUCAACUCAGUUGUAAAAUGAUUUUUUAGUCUGUAUUUUCUUUUAGCAUAUAUUCACUUCUAACUCUAGCAUCAGAGGCCAUUUGUCACCCAAUCUACCCAUUCCGAUGGCAGACUUGGCUGACAAGGACAUGAAGCAAUUUAAUACUCUAUUUAAUGAGCAUUUUCUUGUCGUGAAAAUGGGGCUUUAGUCGCUUGAAUAUUCCUCCGUGCCUUCUGUGAGUGGUCGUGCGAUCCCGGGGAUAUUUUGUCAAGGUAUUUUUGUUGUUGUUGUUGUUGUAUUUUCGUUUGCUUGCAAUCCUUUCUACAGUGUAUUCUAACGGUUCUAGAUUUUCUGAUGAGUUUUUGUGCUGCUAUUCCUUACUUUUGAGCUGUUUUUUGCUGUUUUUUUUUUGUGCCUCGGGUAUGCAGUUAUGUGCUUUCUGUCGCCUCUUGGUAUAUAGCUAUUUGGGUGGUGUUUGGUUUUUUAGUGUUUAUUUGCCGAGUUGUGGUAAUUAUUGGAAUUGUUAGGCAGUCAUAGUCAACACUUUGUGUUUCUUUUAGACAUAUAAUAGAAAUGCUUAUAGUAGUUAACUCAAUGUAAUUAUAUCGGUUGUUGUAAUAAUGUUAACUUAAUUGCAAAAAGAGGUUGACUCCUACUUUCUCACGUGAAUUCGUUAUAUUGCUUCUAGGCGUGGUUCUCAAUGCAUCUAUUCAAGGUCUACUUAGUUUUUGUUUUUGGCUAGC